AGGUAAAUCAGGAAAAUUUAAACAUCCAAGAAAAAUGCGAAGAUUUGACAAAGGGUUUGGAGAAGCAUCAACAUCAAAAAGACCAAAGUUAGACAAAGGUAAAUCAGGAAAAUUUAAACAUCCAAGAAAAAUGCGAAGAUUUAACAAAGGUAUUGGCGAAGCAUCAAUAUCGAAACAACCAAAGUUAG